rnacentral:rRNA from 1 species
UACGAAGGGGGGCUAGCGUUGUUCGGAAUCACUGGGCGUAAAGGGCGCGUAGGCGGCCGAUCAAGUCGGGGGGUGAAAGCCUGUGGCUCAACCACAGAAUUGCCUUCGAUACUGGUUGGCUUGAGACCGGAAGAGGUAAGUGGAACUGCGAGUGUAGAGGUGAAAUUCGUAGAUAUUCGCAAGAACACCAGUGGCGAAGGCGGCUUACUGGUCCGGUUCUGACGCUGAGGCGCGAAAAGCGUGGGGGAGCAAAC